rnacentral:rRNA from 1 species
AUUGAACGCUGGCGGCAGGCCUAACACAUGCAAGUCGAACGAGGGGCGGACGGGUGAGUAAUUUCUGGGACACCGUCUGGUGGUGGGGGAUCACUUCUGAAAAAGGUAGCUAAUACCGCAUACCAUCAGAUGUGCCCAGAUGGGAUUAGCUUGUUUGUGGGGAAACGGCUCACCAAGGCGACGAUCCCUAGCUGGUCUGAGAGGAUGACCAGCCACACUGGAACUGAGACACGGUCCAGACUCCUACGGGAGGCAGCAGUGGGGAAUAUUGCACAAUGGGCGCAAGCCUGAUGCAGCCAGGCCGCGUGGAUGAAGAAGGCCUUCGGGUUGUAAAGUACUUUCAGCGGGGAGGCGUUACCCGCAGAAGAAGUACCGGCUAACUCCGUGCCAGCCGCCGCGGUAAUAC